GAUGAACGCUAGCUACAGGCUUAACACAUGCAAGUCGAGGGGCAGCAUGGUCUUAGCUUGCUAAGGCCGAUGGCGACCGGCGCACGGGUGAGUAACACGUAUCCAACCUGCCGUCUACUCUUGGACAGCCUUCUGAAAGGAAGAUUAAUACAAGAUGGCAUCAUGAGUCCGCAUGUUCACAUGAUUAAAGGUAUUCCGGUAGACGAUGGGGAUGCGUUCCAUUAGAUAGUAGGCGGGGUAACGGCCCACCUAGUCUUCGAUGGAUAGGGGUUCUGAGAGGAAGGUCCCCCACAUUGGAACUGAGACACGGUCCAAACUCCUACGGGAGGCAGCAGUGAGGAAUAUUGGUCAAUGGGCGAGAGCCUGAACCAGCCAAGUAGCGUGAAGGAUGACUGCCCUAUGGGUUGUAAACUUCUUUUAUAAAGGAAUAAAGUCGGGUAUGCAUACCCGUUUGCAUGUACUUUAUGAAUAAGGAUCGGCUAACUCCGUGCCAGCAGCCGCGGUAAUACGGAGGAUCCGAGCGUUAUCCGGAUUUAUUGGGUUUAAAGGGAGCGUAGAUGGAUGUUUAAGUCAGUUGUGAAAGUUUGCGGCUCAACCGUAAAAUUGCAGUUGAUACUGGAUAUCUUGAGUGCAGUUGAGGCAGGCGGAAUUCGUGGUGUAGCGGUGAAAUGCUUAGAUAUCACGAAGAACUCCGAUUGCGAAGGCAGCCUGCUAAGCUGCAACUGACAUUGAGGCUCGAAAGUGUGGGUAUCAAACCAGG
rnacentral:rRNA from 1 species